AUGGCCGCGAUGACCGCCAUCCGCCGCGCUGCCCUCGCCUGCCGCGUCUCGAGCCGCGUCCUCUCCCACUCCUUCGCCUCCUCCGCCGCCUCCCACUCGCGCGCCUCUCCCACCCUCCUCGGCCACUUCUACCACCCCAUGUGCCCGCAGGACCCGCAGGCCUUCCAGCUGCCGCCGCCCGCCGCGCCGGCCUUCCAGCCCCUCACCGCCUCCUCCCCGCGCCUCUCCCUCGACUUCCUCCCCGACAUCUUGGACUACACCCUCUACGACUCCCACCGUGGCCUCCUGCUCCUCCGCCGGAAGCCCCGGUUCGACACCCGCGGCUUCCUCGUCUGCGACCCCGUCUCGCGCCGCCACGCGCUGCUGCCCCCGCCGCCCAUCUCCUCCCUCAACGGCGGCCAUGUCUUCGGCUCCGCGCUCCUCUCCCGCGGCGCCGCGGACCCCGAGGGCGGGCUCCGGUUCGAGGUCCUCUGCGUCGCCCUCGACGUGGACCGCCCGCGCGCCUGGGUCGCGUCCUUCCGCGACGGCUGGUGCCGCUGGGCCGCGCUGCCGCGCUCGCGCGAGGUCACCGUCGACUUCGACGCCAUGAGGUUCGAGGGCAUGUGCGUGCACGCCGCGGGGGGCAUGUACUGGCACAUCCUCGGCAGCCCCUCCGCGCUCGCGCUCGACGCCGCCACCAUGGAGUUCUCCUUCCUCCGGGCCCCGGAGAUGAUGUGGGGCGAGCUCGACGGGCUCCACAAGUACCGCAUCGGCGAGAUGCCCGAGGACGGACGGCUGUGCGUCGCGUCGCUGGAGGAGCAGCAUGGCCUCCAGAUGUGCGUGCGUGGCAAUGGGGACAACGGCUGGGUGCUGGAGAGGCGCAUACCCAUGGACGAGGUGUUCGACACCGUGCCGUCCCUGCCCAAGGAUCCCCAGAGGCGGCACGCCAGGCUGUGGCUGGGCGACGUCGACCAGGGGCGGACCGGGAGGGUCUUCAUCAACACCCUGGGCUUCGGCAACUUCUCCUACGACAUGAACACCAAGAAGCUGGAAUAUUUGGCGGCCCAAGAAGAUGGCAUGACAUUUGGUCACCCUAUAUUUGCCUACUUCUCUGCUCUAGACUGCUGCUCUGCCUCUGCGUGA
rnacentral:rRNA from 1 species